CAGUUAAAAAGCUCGUAGUUGGAUUUCUGCGGGGGCGGGGCGGCCGAACGCUUAUAGCGUUUCGAGCUAGCACUUCCCCUGCAUCCUGCCGCGAACCGUGCUACCAUUAGUUUGGUGGCGCCGGGGAUCGGCUCGUUUACUUUGAGAAAAAUAGAGUGUUCAAAGCAGGCCACACGCCUUGAAUAAGUUAGCAUGGAAUAAUGAUAAAGGACUUCGGUUCUAUUUUGUUGGUGUUCGGGACUGAAGUAAUGAUUGAUAGGGACAGUUGGGGCGGUCAGUAUUCCAAAGCGAGAGGUGAAAUUCUUAGACCUUCGGAAGACUAACAGCUGCGAAAGCAUUCCGCAAGGAUGUUCCCUUUGAUCAAGAACGGAAGUUGGGGGAUCGAAGACGAUCAGAUACCGUCGUAGUCUCAACUAUAAACUAUACCAGCUAGGGAUCGGCCGACGUUUACUUAUAUCGACUCGGUCGGCACCUUAUGAGAAAUCAAAGCAUCUGGGUUCCGGGGGGAGUAUGGUCGCAAGGCUGAAACUUAAAGGAAUUGACGGAAGGGCACCACCAGCCGUGGAGCCUGCGGCUUAAUUUGACUCA
rnacentral:rRNA from 1 species